GAUGAACGCUGGCGGCGUGCCUAAUACAUGCAAGUCGAGCGAACGGACGAGAAGCUUGCUUCUCUGAUGUUAGCGGCGGACGGGUGAGUAACACGUGGAUAACCUACCUAUAAGACUGGGAUAACUUCGGGAAACCGGAGCUAAUACCGGAUAAUAUUUUGAGCCGCAUGGUUCAAAAGUGAAAGACGGUCUUGCUGUCACUUAUAGAUGGAUCCGCGCUGCAUUAGCUAGUUGGUAAGGUAACGGCUUACCAAGGCAACGAUGCAUAGCCGACCUGAGAGGGUGAUCGGCCACACUGGAACUGAGACACGGUCCAGACUCCUACGGGAGGCAGCAGUAGGGAAUCUUCCGCAAUGGGCGAAAGCCUGACGGAGCAACGCCGCGUGAGUGAUGAAGGUCUUCGGAUCGUAAAACUCUGUUAUUAGGGAAGAACAUAUGUGUAAGUAACUGUGCACAUCUUGACGGUACCUAAUCAGAAAGCCACGGCUAACUACGUGCCAGCAGCCGCGGUAAUACGUAGGUGGCAAGCGUUAUCCGGAAUUAUUGGGCGUAAAGCGCGCGUAGGCGGUUUUUUAAGUCUGAUGUGAAAGCCCACGGCUCAACCGUGGAGGGUCAUUGGAAACCGGAAAACUUGAGUGCAGAAGAGGAAAGUGGAAUUCCAUGUGUAGCGGUGAAAUGCGCAGAGAUAUGGAGGAACACCAGUGGCGAAGGCGACUUUCUGGUCUGUAACUGACGCUGAUGUGCGAAAGCGUGGGGAUCAAACAGGAUUAGAUACCCUGGUAGUCCACGCCGUAAACGAUGAGUGCUAAGUGUUAGGGGGUUUCCGCCCCUUAGUGCUGCAGCUAACGCAUUAAGCACUCCGCCUGGGGAGUACGACCGCAAGGUUGAAACUCAAAGGAAUUGACGGGGACCCGCACAAGCGGUGGAGCAUGUGGUUUAAUUCGAAGCAACGCGAAGAACCUUACCAAAUCUUGACAUCCUUUGACAACUCUAGAGAUAGAGCCUUCCCCUUCGGGGGACAAAGUGACAGGUGGUGCAUGGUUGUCGUCAGCUCGUGUCGUGAGAUGUUGGGUUAAGUCCCGCAACGAGCGCAACCCUUAAGCUUAGUUGCCAUCAUUAAGUUGGGCACUCUAAGUUGACUGCCGGUGACAAACCGGAGGAAGGUGGGGAUGACGUCAAAUCAUCAUGCCCCUUAUGAUUUGGGCUACACACGUGCUACAAUGGACAAUACAAAGGGCAGCGAAACCGCGAGGUCAAGCAAAUCCCAUAAAGUUGUUCUCAGUUCGGAUUGUAGUCUGCAACUCGACUACAUGAAGCUGGAAUCGCUAGUAAUCGUAGAUCAGCAUGCUACGGUGAAUACGUUCCCGGGUCU
rnacentral:rRNA from 1 species